GCCUGGGUAGCUCAGUCAGUUGAGCGUCUGACUUCGGUUCAGGUCAUGAUCUCACGGUCCAUGGGUUCAAGCCCUGCAUCAGGCU
rfam:Felis catus isolate Cinnamon breed Abyssinian chromosome D4, whole genome shotgun sequence.